GUCUAUGGCCAUACCACCCUGAACAUGCCCGAUCUCGUCAGAUCUCGGAAGCUAAGCAGGGUUGGGUCUGGUUAGUACUUGAAUUUGAGACUGCCUGGGAAAACCAGGUGCUGUAGAAA
ensembl:rRNA n-R5s162 nuclear encoded rRNA 5S 162